rnacentral:lncRNA from 1 species
UCAUCCUCAGUAGUAGCAGGGUGACCAGGGUACUUCCCAUAAGGAGGCAGUUUCUUAAAUGGUGGUUUCUCAUAUGGUGGUGGCUUGUAAAUUGGAGGUGGCUUCACAAUGGGGGGUUUCUCAUAUGGUGGUGGCUUGUAAAUUGGAGGUGGUUUCACAAUGGGGGGUUUCUCAUAUGGUGGUGGCUUGUAAAUUGGAGGUGGCUUCACAAUGGGGGGCUUCUCAUAUGGUGGCUUGUAAAUUGGAGGUGGCUUCACAAUGGGGGGCUUCUCAUAUGGUGGCUUGUAAAUUGGAGGUGGUUUCACAAUGGGGGGCUUCUCAUAUGGUGGCUUGUAAAUUGGAGGUGGUUUCACAAUGGGGGGCAUGGGGGGCUUCUCAUAUGGUGGCUUGUAAAUUGGAGGUGGUUUCAUAAUGGGGGGCAUCUCAUAUGGUGGCUUGUAAAUUGGAGGUGGUUUAAAAAUGGGGGGUUUCUCAUAUGGUGGAGGCUUGUAAAUUGGAGGUGGUUUCUCAAAUGGUGGAGGCAUGUAAAUUGGGGGUGGUUUCUCUAGUGGGGGCUUCUCAUAUCCAGCAUUUGAGCAAGCGGUGAGAGCCACCAGCC